rnacentral:rRNA from 1 species
GUCUAUGGCUAUACCGCCCUGAAUGCGCCCAAUCUCGUCUGAUCUUGGAAGCUAAGCAGGGUCGGGUCUGGUUAGUACUUGGAUGGGAGAAAUGGGAAAAUAGUAUACAUAGACA